GGUGGCUCAGUGGUAGAGUACUUGCCUUACUUGCAUGAGGCCCUGGGUUCGAUUCCUCAGCACCA
rfam:Dipodomys ordii contig_52000, whole genome shotgun sequence.